rnacentral:rRNA from 1 species
CUCACUGAGCUUAUUUUUAAAGAGCCGCGGUAUUUUGACCGUGCAAAGGUAGCAUAAUCAUUAGUCUCUUAAUUGGUGGCUGGAAUGAAUGGCUUGACGAGAAAUCAACUGUCUCUUAAUAAAUUUUUGAAUUUAACUUUUGAGUCAAAAGGCUUAAAUUUUUCUUUAGGACGAGAAGACCCUAUAGAGCUUAACAUUUUACUUUUAUAUAGUUUUUGUUUGUCUUUCUAUAUUUAAUGAUAAUGUUUUGUUGGGGUGACAUAAAGAAUAAAUAAACUCUUUAUUAUUAUAUCAUUUAUUUAUGUUUGUGUUUUGAUCCAUAAUUUAUGAUCAUAAGAUUAAGUUACCUUAGGGAUAACAGCGUAAUUGUUUUUGAGAGCUCAUAUCGACAAGGCAGAUUGCGACCUCGAUGUUGGAUUAAGAAAAAUUUUGGGUGCAGGAGCCCUUUAAUUAGGUCUGUUCGACCUUUAAAUUCUUACGUGAUCUGAGUUCA